rnacentral:lncRNA from 1 species
AGGAUCUAUUCUUUGACGGCAAUCUACUCAGAGAUGGUCAAAGGCUAGUUGAUUGUGGUGUUCGGAGGAACUGCACUCUUCAUCUUAUUGUCCAAAAUCCUGUUAUAAUCAAAUUAUUGGUCAAAAUACCAUCUGAUCCGAGAAUUAUCAUGGUGGAAGCAAAAACUUGUGAUACUAUCCACAAUGUCAAAUUGAUGAUUCAGUCAAAGGAGGGGAUUCUGUCAGAUAACUUCACUCUUGUCCAUGAUGGACAUCUACUCGAAGAUGAAAGUACUCUGGCCUCCCUCAAUAUACGGAGCAAUUCAAAUAUUCAUUUGGUUUUUUGUCAGAAAGAAGUGCCAUCUAUUUUUGUGAAAGCACCUAAUAAAGAUACCGUGCAACUCAGAGUUAAAGUUAUGUUUACUGUUGAUGAUAUCAAAGCGAUUUGUGGUAGCAUCAUUGGUGUUUCAGUCAGUGGGUGUAAUAUGUUUUGUGCUGCAAAACGGCUUGAGGGUUCCAAAACCCUGGCCUUUUAUGAUAUCAAAGAAGGAUCUCUGUUGGAGCUAUUACCUUCUUCAAUGCAGAUAUUUGUUAAGACUUGGAUUGGAAAAACCCUAGUCCUUGAUGUGAAGGAACAUGAUACUGUGAAGCAUAUCAAGCAACAGAUUUU